rnacentral:rRNA from 1 species
AAAAUAGAUACCCCGGUAGUCCACGCCGUAAACGAUGAGUGCUAAGUGUUAGAGGGUUUCCGCCCUUUAGUGCUGCAGCUAACGCAUUAAGCACUCCGCCUGGGGAGUACGGCCGCAAGGCUGAAACUCAAAGGAAUUGACGGGGGCCCGCACAAGCGGUGGAGCAUGUGGUUUAAUUCGAAGCAACGCGAAGAACCUUACCAGGUCUUGACAUCCUCUGCCAACCCUAGAGAUAGGGCGUUCCCCUUCGGGGGACAGAGUGACAGGUGGUGCAUGGUUGUCGUCAGCUCGUGUCGUGAGAUGUUGGGUUAAGUCCCGCAACGAGCGCAACCCUUGAUCUUAGUUGCCAGCAUUCAGUUGGGCACUCUAAGGUGACUGCCGGUGACAAACCGGAGGAAGGUGGGGAUGACGUCAAAUCAUCAUGCCCCUUAUGACCUGGGCUACACACGUGCUACAAUGGAUGGUACAAAGAGCUGCGAACCCGCGAGGGUAAGCGAAUCUCAUAAAGCCAUUCUCAGUUCGGAUUGUAGG